UACGUAGGGGGCGAGCGUUUAUCCGGAAUACUGGGCGUAAAGCGCACGCAGGCGGUUCGCCAAGUUUUGGAGUGACAGUUGUCGGCUCAACCGACAAAGGACUUCAAAAACUGGUGAACUUGAGGACGAGAGAGGAACAUGGAACUCCAGGUGUAGUAGUGAAAUGCGUAGAUAUCUGGAAGAACACCAAUGGCGAAGGCGACUCACUGGCCCGAUACUGACG
rnacentral:rRNA from 1 species